rnacentral:rRNA from 1 species
ACAUGCCUACAACAUAGUGUUAAUGCACCAUAUCCCAUUAGAACUCCGCAGUUAAGUGCACUCAUGCUAGAGUAGUACUAGGAUGAGUGACAUCCUGGGAGGUCCUAGUGUUUUACAUGCC